CUUGUGUAGUUUUUGCAGUUAAGAAGCUCGUUAUUAAAGUUAGUUGAAUUUCGGGAUUGACGUGCCUUAACUUCAUCGGUGGGGUAUGAACCACUUCUCACCUUCUGGAGAAUGGCGAUGGCCUUAAUUGGGUGUCMCGGGAAACCAGGUCCUUUUACUUUUAUCCCCCCAGAGUGUUUACAGCAGGCAUUUUGCUUGAAUUCAUUAGCAUUGAAUAAUAAAAUAGGACGGCUUCGAUUCAUAUUUUGUUGGUUUCUAGGUUCGACCGUAAAGAUUAAUAGGGAGGGUCCACCGCAAUAGCGGUCAAUUGUUAGAGGUGAAGGAAGUAGAUUAAUUGAAGACUAACUACUGCGAAAUCAUUGGCCAAGGAUGUUUUCAUUAAUCAAGAACGAGAGUUAUGGGAUCGAAGACGAUCAGAUACGGUCGUAGUCUAAACCAUAAACUAUGCCGACUAGGUCCACGUGGCUUAAGGGGUAUGAACCGGUGUAGUCAACUUCUCACCUUCUGGAGAACCGCG
rnacentral:rRNA from 1 species